rnacentral:rRNA from 1 species
UACGUAGGGUGCAAGCGUUAAUCGGAUUUACUGGGCGUAAAGCGCACGUAGGCGGAUCUUUUAGUCAGGGGUGAAAUCCCGAGGCUCAACCUCGGAACUGCCUUUGAUACUGGGGAUCUUGAGUCCGGGAGAGGUGAGUGGAACUGCGAGUGUAGAGGUGAAAUUCGUAGAUAUUCGCAAGAACACCAGUGGCGAAGGCGGCUCACUGGCCCGGUACUGACGCUGAGGUGCGAAAGCGUGGGGAGCAAACAGG